rnacentral:rRNA from 1 species
AACGAACGCUGGCGGCAGGCUUAACACAUGCAAGUCGAACGCCCCGCAAGGGGAGUGGCAGACGGGUGAGUAACGCGUGGGAAUCUACCUAGUUCUACGGAACAACACAGGGAAACUUGUGCUAAUACCGUAUACGCCCUACGGGGGAAAGAUUUAUCGGAAUUAGAUGAGCCCGCGUUGGAUUAGCUAGUUGGUGGGGUAAUGGCCUACCAAGGCGACGAUCCAUAGCUGGUCUGAGAGGAUGAUCAGCCACACUGGGACUGAGACACGGCCCAGACUCCUACGGGAGGCAGCAGUGGGGAAUAUUGGACAAUGGGCGCAAGCCUGAUCCAGCCAUGCCGCGUGAGUGACGAAGGCCUUAGGGUUGUAAAGCUCUUUCAGUGGGGAAGAUAAUGACGGUACCCACAGAAGAAGCCCCGGCUAACUUCGUGCCAGCCGCCGCAGUAACAC